rnacentral:rRNA from 1 species
UACGUAGGCAGCAAGCGUUGUUCGGAGUUACUGGGCGUAAAGGGUGCGUAGGUGGCUCUAUAAGUAUGGUGUGAAAUCGUCCCGGCUUAACUGGGAGGGUGCACCGUAGACUGUGGGGCUAGAGUGUGGGAGAGGAAAGUGGAAUUCCUGGUGUAGCGGUGAAAUGCGUAGAUAUCAGGAGGAACACCGGUGGUGUAAACGGCUUUCUGGACCAUAACUGACACUGAGGCACGAAAGCGUGGGUAGCAAACAGG